rfam:Phialocephala scopiformis strain CBS 120377 unplaced genomic scaffold LY89scaffold_33, whole genome shotgun sequence.
GCCCUCGUAGCUCAAUGGUAGAGCGCGUCACUAGUACCGUAGCAAGUCAAUGACGAGGUUGCCGGUUCGAUUCCGUCCGAGGGCA